rnacentral:rRNA from 1 species
GUAGCGCAAUCAAUUGGCUCUUAAUUGGGGUCAGGAAUGAAUGGAGUUUACGUGGUUCAGCUGUCUUUUAAUUAAUACGUUGAAGUUACUAUAUAAGUGAAAAAGCUUAUUAGUAGAAAAAGGACGAGAAGACCCUUAGAGUUUUUCUUAAUGUGAAUAAUAAAAUAUUGUGAUUCACAAUGGUUUUGUUGGGGCAACAUAGGAGCAGUAAUUAGAUAUAAUCUCCUGAAUUUAACUUACCGAAGUAUUAAAUUUGAAUAAACUACCUUAGGGAUAACAGCAUAAUUUUAAAAAUAAGUUUGUGACCUCGAUGUUGGACUAGGAAACUUAAAGGCU